rnacentral:rRNA from 1 species
UACAGAGGUCUCAAGCGUUGUUCGGAUUCAUUGGGCGUAAAGGGUGCGUAGGCGGCGCGGUAAGUCGGGUGUGAAAUCUCGGAGCUUAACUCCGAAACUGCAUUCGAUACUGCCGUGCUUGAGGACUGGAGAGGAGACUGGAAUUUACGGUGUAGCGGUGAAAUGCGUAGAUAUCUGGAGGAACACCGGUGGCGAAGGCGGCAUCCUGGACCGGCAUUGAUGCUGAGGCGCGAAAGCCAGGGGAGCAAACGGG